CAAUUUUCAUCAGCUUCUAGGACUCAGCGGUGACCUCAGAAAUCACCUCAAAUCACAGCGCAGACAUCCAUAGCCCUCUGACAGAAGAGCAGUAUACGCAGGAACAGGAUGACGGGAGCGCGACUGCACGAUGUAGAGAUGAAGGAGAUGCGCCGGGAAAGGAAAGUUGGUUGUUGUGAGAUGCACUUACCCGGAGAUAACUGAAGCCGGUUUAUGUCGGAUUGUACAAACUCCUUACAGUUUACUGUGAAGGCCAAUUCCUGGCUGGCACCCAUUUGACCUGGUGAGUGUCUGGGCUUUAAACACAUGGCUGGUGGCAGAAGAUCCCAGAAGGUGGCGAGAACAGCCUGAAAUGGAUUGUGACAAGAUACCUGCACUUAACUAGGCCAAAUCAAUCUCUGAGUCCAGCAGAAAUUUCCGAGCAACAAACCUGCGGUUUUACAGAAUGGAUUUGUCACAUGUUGCAGCAGAAGAUCAACAUCACUCAGAUACUGCCAAAAGAUCUCAAUGUAACAUGACCAUAUUCUCAUCGAUUUAUCAUCAGACAGUGCCACCAGUAACCAUCAUCUCACGCAGGCAACGUGGAUGGAGUGUCUAUGAACUUCAAUCUGCCCGACAUCUGAAGUAUGGAGUGAAAAGGUGCAAAACCAACCCAAGUGAAAACCACAGGAGAAGGGAGGGUUCACAGGGGUACUAUGGCUGAAGGAAUAAAAUUCAAGUCUGUGGUAAUGUUCAGAUAUUAAAGCCAUGUGGAAAAUCAAGUUCCAUGCAAGACGUCCAUGGUAACAGAUGGAAGGAUGAGGAAGCUGUGAAUUGAUAAUGUAUUGAGUAGAUGCCCUGGUAGCUUACAUAAAGGAUACAGAUGUUUAGUGUGGAACAUGUUCUGAUCCCAUAAUACCUUAGAGAAAGAAAGCCACCCAGGAAACAAUAGUACCCACAUUACUGCUGGACAAGGGGGUCCAAUGUACAUAGUGCACAUCUGAUCCAGAGGGAUGCUGCAAUGAUGCCUUAACCAUGC